rnacentral:lncRNA from 1 species
UUUGCUUGCUUUUUUGUGUUUGUGCUGGGAUUGAAAGAGAACAAUUCAGGAAACAAAGCAAAAAUAGAACAAGAGCACAAAAAAAGCAGGCUCUGUAUGAAAGACAUAUCAUAUUAUUAAAAAUAAUAAAUGGAGACACCCAUUGUUAUAGGAUGGUACCAGCCUUUCCCAAAUAAACUUGUUUAACAAUGAUAGCAGUUAGGAUAAGGCAAAAAGAGUCUUUCCAUCACCAGACCCACAUCCCCAAGAAAGGAAGAAAACAUGGAAACCGUUCUGCCCAAUAUAAAGUGUAUUAAUAAUAAUGAAUAUAGAAAGUCAAAUCCUGGGAGCCUUACUCAUGCGAGUAGACCCAAGAGGCAAUCAGGAGUGGAUCUAUCAUUAGGGGGAGUUCCCCCGACGUCUCGUGAAGAAACCCGGCAGUGGAUUUCAAAAUGAUCCAGUUUGAUUCGCUUAGUACCUACGGACCUGUUUCAAUAGACUGGAGAGAUACUCACCAGAGUUUAAGGAAGUGCCUGGAUCGCCCAAUGGUCUUUGCAGCAUCCAUUUCCUCUGUGGAUUCCUAGCUUGCAUCCGAAGUAGCUCCCAGGCUAUCCUUGAAGUUAGCAUUUAUGGUACUGUAUCUCAUAUAAGAGGCUCUCCCACAGAAUUUUUUUCCAGGUUUUCAAGCAAAUUUCCCUGUGCCACAAUGUUAUGAUGGAAGGAUGCUGAAAUGACAGGCCUAGCAGACGCUUGUCUUAAUCAUCGGCUUCUUAAUUUAGUUGUAGUGCGGCGGUUUUGUGUGUGCGUGUGCGCGCAAGAGAAGCGCCUGACAACCUGCAGCUUCCUAAUGAGCGACGAGGCAGGGCUGCUGCAGCAAAGUAACACUUCCCUGGUGUGAAGACCUCUCACUGGGAAGUUUAGUUCACUACUGUUCUCGCAAACCUAAUCGUAUAACCUGUAACCAAAACGCACAGAAGAAGGAUACAACACGCUAAAUAGAGUAACUUCUAAUCACUUAAAUGUUAGCACCAUUACCAGCUGUUAGGGAUUAGAUGAGAGUUGGCUAGAGAGAGGACACCUAUACAUUACUGUAUAUAUGUAAAAAUAUCGGUCUAUUAUAGUAAUUAAUCCAUCAUCUAUCUAUCUAUCUUCAAAAUGUUUGACACAUAUUGUUGUUAGUGCAUUGUCACAUACACAUCUGAAAUCUCCUAUAAGCAAGAUAUCAGUGGAUGGUCAGGCUGGUUCGCAAGUAGCGCUUAAUUUAAUUGUUCGGGGAAUGUGAAACAAAUAAGGGAAUCGUACACCCACCAGGGCAAAUAUAGAGCGCUUGAUUGUAUUUAAUAUGUUAUUAUUUGGAUGUUAAAAUGAAGUGUUCUGACUCGUUUCAUGAAUGCAUGAUGUCAUCGAAGCCGGUUAUUAAACACUCUUCUUUAUUCAUGGCGGA